rnacentral:tRNA from 1 species
GCCGCUUUAGCUCAGUAGGUAGAGCACUUCCAUGGUAAGGAAAAGGUCGCCGGUUCGAUUCCGGCAAGUGGCU